rnacentral:rRNA from 1 species
GUGGGGAAUUUUGGACAAUGGGCGCAAGCCUGAUCCAGCAAUGCCGCGUGCAGGAUGAAGGCCUUCGGGUUGUAAACUGCUUUUGUACGGAACGAAAAGCUUCGGGCUAAUACCCUGGAGUCAUGACGGUACCGUAAGAAUAAGCACCGGCUAACUACGUGCCAGCAGCCGCGGUAAUACGUAGGGUGCAAGCGUUAAUCGGAAUUACUGGGCGUAAAGCGUGCGCAGGCGGUUUUGUAAGACAGUGGUGAAAUCCCCGGGCUCAACCUGGGAACUGCCAUUGUGACUGCAAGGCUGGAGUGCGGCAGAGGGGGAUGGAAUUCCGCGUGUAGCAGUGAAAUGCGUAGAUAUGCGGAGGAACACCGAUGGCGAAGGCAAUCCCCUGGGCCUGCACUGACGCUCAUGCACGAAAGCGUGGGGAGCAAACAGGAUUAGAAACCCUAGUAGUCC